CGGGACUGGCGGGGCUCGAACCUCGCAGCU
rnacentral:tRNA from 3 species